rnacentral:rRNA from 1 species
UACGUAGGGCGCAAGCGUUGUCCGGAAUUAUUGGGCGUAAAGAGCUCGUAGGCGGUUUGUCGCGUCGGGAGUGAAAACUCAGGGCUUAACCCUGAGCCUGCUUCCGAUACGGGCAGACUAGAGGUAUGCAGGGGAGAACGGAAUUCCUGGUGUAGCGGUGAAAUGCGCAGAUAUCGGGAGGAACACCGGUGGCGAAGGCGAGUCUCUGGACAGCAACUGACGCUGAGGCACGAAGGCCAGGGGAGCAAAGCGGG